rnacentral:tRNA from 1 species
UGGGGAAUAGCCAAGUUGGUUAAGGCACUGGAUUUUGAUUCCAGCAUUCGGAAGUUCGAGUCUUUCUUCCCCAG